CGAAUGUUCGCAAUCUUCGACUUGGGGAGGCGAAGCGUGCAUGUUACUGAAUCUAUCUCGAAUCCGAGGAAUUGCACGACUUUCGAUGGGGAGAGUGCUGACUUUUCCGUGUUCACAAUGAAACCCAAGGAUUCCAGAAAGUGCACUAUGAAUUUCGUCUGAGAUCGUAGUCUGGAUGCGUUGUCGCAGAAAAUCAGUAUAUCGUCUAAGUAGAUUAGGCAUCGGAUCCCUCUUGUCC